rfam:Physcomitrella patens subsp. patens PHYPAscaffold_164 genomic scaffold, whole genome shotgun sequence.
AUCCCAGUCUUACCUGUAUGGUUUGCCUGAUUCAUGGGGGGCGAAUACGAAACCUGGAAGUUUCGCUGACAACAUCCCUAUUACUGGAUGAAAUCUGAUAGUAGCUUCUCAGACAUUC